rnacentral:rRNA from 1 species
UACGGAGGGUGCGUAGGCGGACUAUUAAGUCAGCGGUGAAAUCCUACAGCUUAACUGUAGAACUGCCGUUGAUACUGCAAGUCUUGAGUACAUUUGAUGUGGGCGGAAUGUGUCAUGUAGCGGUGAAAUGCUUAGAUAUGACACGGAACACCAAUUGCGAAGGCAGCUCACAAAACUGUAACUGACGCUGAGGCACGACAGCGUGGGGAUCAAACAGG